rnacentral:rRNA from 1 species
UAAAUGAUGUGGACUAGGUGUUGCAUUCCCCUUGUGGGAAUGCAGUGCCGAAGGGAAGCCGUUAAGUUCACCACCUGGGAAGUACGGUCGCAAGGCCGAAACUUAAAGGAAUUGACGGGGGAGCACAACAAGGGGUGGAGUCUGCGGUUUAAUUGGAUUAAACGCCGGAAAUCUCACCGGGAGCGACAACAGUAUGAAGGUCAGGCUGACGGUCUUACUCGACUCGUUGAGAGGUGGUGCAUGGCCGCCGUCAGUUCGUGCCGUAAGGUGUUCUGUUAAGUCAGACAACGAACAAGACCCACGCUGCUAGUUGCUAGUCAUCCUUUCGAGGGUGAUGCACUCUAGCGGGACCGCUGGUGAUAAAUCAGAGGAAGGGGUGGGCAACGGUAGGUCAGUAUGCCCCGAAUCUCUUGGGCUACACGCGAGCUACAGUGACUGGAACAAUGAGCUGCGACGCCGAAAGGCGAAGCCAAUCCCUAAAUCCAGCCUAGGUUCGGAUCGAGGGCUGUAACUUGCCCUCGUGAAGCCGGAAUCCCUAGUAAUCAAAGUUCAUUAUGCUUUGGUGAAUAUGUCCCUGCUCCUUGUACACACCGCCCGUCAAAUCACCUGAGUUGGGCCUGGAUGAGGCAUUAUCUUUUGGUAGUGUCGAAUCUGAGCUCAGCAAGGGGGGU